UACGAAGGGGGCUAGCGUUGCUCGGAAUCACUGGGCGUAAAGGGUGCGUAGGCGGGUCUUUAAGUCAGGGGUGAAAUCCUGGAGCUCAACUCCAGAACUGCCUUUGAUACUGAAGAUCUUGAGUCCGGGAGAGGUGAGUGGAACUGCGAGUGUAGAGGUGAAAUUCGUAGAUAUUCGCAAGAACACCAGUGGCGAAGGCGGACCCCUGGUUGGAUACUGACGCUGAUACGCGAAAGCGUGG
rnacentral:rRNA from 1 species